UCACAGGUUUUUCUGUGAGAAAAACCACCAACCAAAUUAAAAAAAUGUUG
rfam:Dipodomys ordii contig_23730, whole genome shotgun sequence.